rnacentral:rRNA from 1 species
ACACUCCUACGGGAGGCAGCAGUGGGGAAUAUUGGACAAUGGGCGCAAGCCUGAUCCAGCCAUGCCGCGUGAGUGAUGAAGGCCCUAGGGUUGUAAAGCUCUUUCACCGGAGAAGAUAAUGACGGUAUCCGGAGAAGAAGCCCCGGCUAACUUCGUGCCAGCAGCCGCGGUAAUACGAAGGGGGCUAGCGUUGUUCGGAAUUACUGGGCGUAAAGCGCACGUAGGCGGAUCGAUCAGUCAGGGGUGAAAUCCCAGGGCUCAACCCUGGAACUGCCGUUGAUACUGUCGAUCUGGAGUAUGGAAGAGGUGAGUGGAAUUCCGAGUGUAGAGGUGAAAUUCGUAGAUAUUCGGAGGAACACCAGUGGCGAAGGCGGCUCACUGGUCCAUUACUGACGCUGAGGUGCGAAAGCGUGGGGAGCAAACAGGAUUAGAAACCCCGGUAGUCCCAUG